GCACUACUGAAGAGUCCCACGAUAGGACGAAACGGCUGUCCAGUGC
rfam:Schistosoma haematobium scaffold297_14, whole genome shotgun sequence.